GCUCAGGAUGAACGCUGGCGGUCUGCUUAACACAUGCAAGUCGAACGCAACCUUCGGGUUGAGUGGCGGACGGGUGAGUAACGCGUGAGAAUCUGCCUUGGGGUCGGGGACAACCACUGGAAACGGUGGCUAAUACCGGAUAAGCCUUUGGGUAAAAGAUUUAUUGCCCCAAGAGGAGCUCGCGUCUGAUUAGCUAGUUGGUGAGGUAAAAGCUCACCAAGGCAGCGAUCAGUAGCUGGUCUGAGAGGACGAUCAGCCACACUGGGACUGAGACACGGCCCAGACUCCUACGGGAGGCAGCAGUGGGGAAUUUUCCGCAAUGGGCGAAAGCCUGACGGAGCAAGACCGCGUGAGGGAGGAAGGCUCUUGGGUUGUAAACCUCUUUUCUCAGGGAAGAAGCUCUGACGGUACCUGAGGAAUCAGCCUCGGCUAACUCCGUGCCAGCAGCCGCGGUAAUACGGAGGAGGCAAGCGUUAUCCGGAAUUAUUGGGCGUAAAGCGUCCGCAGGUGGCGAUUCAAGUCUGCUGUCAAAGCACGGGGCUUAACUCCGUUAAGGCAGUGGAAACUGAAUAGCUAGAGUGCCGUAGGGGUAGAGGGAAUUCCCGGUGUAGCGGUGAAAUGCGUAGAGAUCGGGAAGAACAUCGGUGGCGAAAGCGCUCUACUGGACGGCAACUGACACUCAGGGACGAAAGCUAGGGGAGCGAAUGGGAUUAGAUACCCCAGUAGUCCUAGCUGUAAACGAUGGAUACUAGGUGUAGCUUGUAUCGACCCGAGCUGUGCCGAAGCUAACGCGUUAAGUAUCCCGNCUGGGGAGUACGCACGCAAGUGUGAAACUCAAAGGAAUUGACGGGGGCCCGCACAAGCGGUG
rnacentral:rRNA from 1 species